rnacentral:rRNA from 1 species
UGGGGAAUCUUGCACAAUGGGGGCAACCCUGAUGCAGCGACGCCGCGUGAGCGAUGAAGCCCUUCGGGGCGUAAAGCUCUUUCGACCGGAACGAUAAUGACGGUACCGGGAGAAGAAGCUGCGGCUAACUACGUGCCAGCAGCCGCGGUAAUACGUAGGGUGCAAGCGUUGUCCGGAAUUAUUGGGCGUAAAGAGCUCGUAGGCGGUUUGUCGCGUCUGCUGUGAAAACCCGAGGCUCAACCUCGGGCCUGCAGUGGGUACGGGCAAACUAGAGUGCGGUAGGGGAGAUUGGAAUUCCUGGUGUAGCGGUGGAAUGCGCAGAUAUCAGGAGGAACACCGAUGGCGAAGGCAGAUCUCCGGGCCGUAACUGACGCUGAGGAGCGAAAGCAUGGGGAGCGAACA